AUUGAACGCUGGCGGCAGGCCUAACACAUGCAAGUCGAGCGGAUGAAGGGAGCUUGCUCCUGGAUUCAGCGGCGGACGGGUGAGUAAUGACUAGGAAUCUGCCUGGUAGUGGGGGAUAACGUCAGGACACGGGCGCUAAUACAGCAUACGACCUGAGGGAGAAAGUGGGGGAUCUUUGGACCUCACGCUAUCAGAUGAGCCUAGGUCGGAUUAGCUAGUUGGUUGGGUAAAGGCCUACCAAGGCGACGAUCCGUAACUGGUCUGAGAGGAUGACCAGCCACACUGGAACUGAGACACGGUCCAGACUCCUACGGGAGGCAGCAGUGGGGAAUAUUGGACAAUGGGCGAAAGCCUGAUCCAGCCAUGCCGCGUGUGUGAAGAAGGUCUUCGGAUUGUAAAGCACUGUAAGUUGGGAGGAAGGGCAGUAAGUUAAUACCUUGCUGUUUUGACGUUACCAACAGAAUAAGCACCGGCUAACUUCGUG
rnacentral:rRNA from 1 species